UACGGGGGGGGCAAGCGUUGUUCGGAAUUACUGGGCGUAAAGGGCUCGUAGGCGGCCAACUAAGUCGGAUGUGAAAUCCCCAAGCUUAACUUGGGAACUGCAUCCGAUACUGGAUGGCUUGAAUCCGGGAGAGGGAUGCAGAAUUCCAGGUGUAGCGGUGAAAUGCGUAGAUAUCUGGAGGAAUACCGAUGGCGAAGGCAGGUCUCUGGGCUAGAACUGACGCUCAUGCACGAAAGCGUGGGGAGCAAACAGG
rnacentral:rRNA from 1 species